rnacentral:lncRNA from 10 species
UCCUCAAGCUAUCCGCACCACCCUCUCUUCCAUUUCAUGCGAAGAUUGUAGUCCCGCAGCCCUGCGACCAGCGGCCGGAAGCAGCUAAGAUGCUACUGCUCCCAGCAUGCCCCGCGAGGCGCGCACAGCACAGGCCCUCUCUCAAGGUCACCACCUCCACUCCCGUUGUAUGCUGGGAUUGUAGUCCGGCCGCCCUGUGACUAACGGCUGGAACCGCCUAAGACACCACCCCAGCCAGCAUGGCCGGCAGGAGCGCACCGCGCUGUCUCCCUCCAGGGAUCCGCACCGCCCUACAAUCCUGCUUUGUGCUGAGAUUGUAGUCCUGCAGGCGUACAACUAACAAGCUGGGUGCAGAUAAGAGACUACAGCUCCCCGCAUCCCAAGCAAAGGUCCCUCCUCUACGGAGCCCCUCCACGCGUCCACUGCGGUUCCGCCGUGCCAAGGGGAGCUUGGCUGUUCACGGGCCUCACCUGCUAGCGAGAAGAUAGCUUGGCCGGGCGGCUGAUCUCACCUUGUAAUUCUGACACUGUGUCUCCCGGGCUUGUCGGCUUCAUGACUUGUGCCCAAAGUUUGAUUUCUCGCAGACCAGGAGGACCCAUUGGACCCCCGGGCUGGCUGCAGGGCCCACACCUGGGUUAGACCUCGCACAGGGACGCUGCUGCCACUGUAAUAAAGCGUGCCUACACGCUUCUGAAACUGGUGUAGGAACAACCUCAGUUCUGUGAAAGGCGGACGCAGCAGGACAGAAUCUCCGUGGACAUCUGUCUGGAGGAGCAAUUUUACUGCGACAUUUUAAAGAAACAAAUUUAAUUGAUUUCCAAGGCUUGAGUGUGAUUAAAAAAAAAAAAUUAAAAGGUAAACUUCACCGUGCAGGAAGAAGCAUAGGAAAAGAGAGAGAGAAAAGAACAAAGAAAAAAAAGAAUAGCAAGUCUCUCCAAGUACUAUGGAAACAAACAGAAAGUGGAAUUAGGAAAAAAGAGAGGAAGAAGGUCUGAGUAGUCCAAGGGACACGGGAGGCCAGUUGGGAAGACCGCCCGGGCGAGACCAGGAAGAUCAAGGCCACAGUGAAUCACGAUCCCAUCCCUCUGC